rnacentral:tRNA from 1 species
UCGGGGAUAGACAAAGCCAGGUACGUCGCCUGCCUUUGAAGCAGGAAAUGGGGGCUCAAAUCCUUUUCCCCGAGCCA